rnacentral:rRNA from 1 species
CCCUGGUGGCGAGUGGCGAACGGGUGAGUAAUGCAUCGGAACGUGCCCAUCGAUGGGGGAUAACUGCGCGAAAGCGUUGCUAAUACCGCAUACGACCUACGGGUGAAAGCAGGGGACCGCAAGGCCUUGCGUCGAUGGAGCGGCCGAUGCCGGAUUAGCUAGUUGGUGAGGUAAAGGCUCACCAAGGCGACGAUCCCGUAGCUGGUCUGAGAGGACGACCAGCCACACUGGGACUGAGACACGGCCCAGACUCCUACGGGAGGCAGCAGUGGGGAAUCUUGGACAAUGGGCGAAAGCCUGAUCCAGCAAUGCCGCGUGUGGGAAGAAGGCCUUCGGGUUGUAAACCACUUUUGGCGGGAAAGAAAUGGUCUGUGCUAAUACCACGGAUUGAUGACGGUACCCGCAGAAUAAGCACCGGCUAACUACGUG